UGUUGUGGCUAAACUUCCCUGUCAAAGCCUGAUCUCGUCAGAUCUCAGGAGCUGAGCAGGGUUGGGCCUGGUUAGUACUUUUAUAAGAGCAGGCCUGUCACAAUAA
rnacentral:rRNA from 1 species